rnacentral:rRNA from 1 species
GACGAACGCUGGCGGCGUGCUUAACACAUGCAAGUCGAACGGAAAGGCCCUGCUUUUGUGGGGUGCUCGAGUGGCGAACGGGUGAGUAACACGUGAGUAACCUGCCCUUGACUUUGGGAUAACUUCAGGAAACUGGGGCUAAUACCGGAUAGGAGCUCCUGCUGCAUGGUGGGGGUUGGAAAGUUUCGGCGGUUGGGGAUGGACUCGCGGCUUAUCAGCUUGUUGGUGGGGUAGUGGCUUACCAAGGCUUUGACGGGUAGCCGGCCUGAGAGGGUGACCGGCCACAUUGGGACUGAGAUACGGCCCAGACUCCUACGGGGGGCAGCAGCGGGGGAUAUUGCACAAUGGGCGGAAGCCUGAUGCAGCAACGCCGCGUGCGGGAUGACGGCCUUCGGGUUGUAAACCGCUUUCGCCUGUGACGAAGCGUGAGUGACGGUAAUGGGUAAAGAAGCACCGGCUAACUACGUG